UUGUUAUAGAGCAUCCUGAGUUUUUUUAAGGUUAUUUAUAUGUGUUGUCUUCAUGGAUAGCUUAACAUGAUCUUAGGAUACUGUACUGCCAUCGCUUUCUAUGAUUUUCAAAUUUUAUUACAGGAUACUAUAGUGUUAUACCUCUCUGUGAUUUUGAAAUAUGAUUAUUUUAGGCCAACAUGAGCUUUUUCUUUGACAUUUUUCAUCUCUAUUAUAUUUCUGGACAACUUGAUGUCAUCCUGCAGUUUCAUUUCCCCCUAUGACGUACCCAGGGUACAUUGGUUAGUGACGAAGUUGGGCUGUAAAAUCAGAACGUUGAUGACACAUUCACGAGGAAACAAUAUUAUUCGAUCUCCUUGCAAAACGUAUACAGUUCUCUUAGUUCCAACUUACUUCGCUGAUUGAUAAAACUAAAACAUAAUAUCCCUAACUUUUGAAUUGAUAAUACUGAAAUAUAAUAUAUUUGCUUCUUUCCUCACAAUUUUGACUGUUCCUAUAUUUUCCAAUUCAUUAUUUUUGCCUUUUACAUAUUCUGAACUGAUUUCACUAAUUUUGGAUCCAAUAGAAUCUGUUUCACAGAGGCAACACAAACAUUGACACUAUGGAGCACAAUACCGCAUGUGAGUGUUUUGCUGUUUACCGUAAGGACUCCAAUUUGAGCCUCUUUUUUCUAAUUUGCUCAUAUUUUUCUUAAACUUUUAUGAAAUAAUUGCCUUCUUUUGGUGAACNNNN
rnacentral:lncRNA from 1 species